AAAUUGAAGAGUUUGAUCAUGGCUCAGAUUGAACGCUGGCGGCAGGCCUAACACAUGCAAGUCGAACGGUAACAGGAAGCAGCUUGCUGCUUUGCUGACGAGUGGCGGACGGGUGAGUAAUGUCUGGGAAACUGCCUGAUGGAGGGGGAUAACUACUGGAAACGGUGGCUAAUACCGCAUAACGUCGCAAGACCAAAGAGGGGGACCUUCGGGCCUCUUGCCAUCAGAUGUGCCCAGAUGGGAUUAGCUGGUUGGUGAGGUAACGGCUCACCAAGGCGACGAUCCCUAGCUGGUCUGAGAGGAUGACCAGCCACACUGGAACUGAGACACGGUCCAGACUCCUACGGGAGGCAGCAGUGGGGAAUAUUGCACAAUGGGCGCAAGCCUGAUGCAGCCAUGCCGCGUGUAUGAAGAAGGCCUUCGGGUUGUAAAGUACUUUCAGCGGGGAGGAAGGUGUUGUGGUUAAUAACCACAGCAAUUGACGUUACCCGCAGAAGAAGCACCGGCUAACUCCGUGCCAGCAGCCGCGGUAAUACGGAGGGUGCAAGCGUUAAUCGGAAUUACUGGGCGUAAAGCGCACGCAGGCGGUCUGUCAAGUCGGAUGUGAAAUCCCCGGGCUCAACCUGGGAACUGCAUUCGAAACUGGCAGGCUUGAGUCUUGUAGAGGGGGGUAGAAUUCCAGGUGUAGCGGUGAAAUGCGUAGAGAUCUGGAGGAAUACCGGUGGCGAAGGCGGCCCCCUGGACAAAGACUGACGCUCAGGUGCGAAAGCGUGGGGAGCAAACAGGAUUAGAUACCCUGGUAGUCCACGCCGUAAACGAUGUCUACUUGGAGGUUGUGCCCUUGAGGCGUGGCUUCCGGAGCUAACGCGUUAAGUAGACCGCCUGGGGAGUACGGCCGCAAGGUUAAAACUCAAAUGAAUUGACGGGGGCCCGCACAAGCGGUGGAGCAUGUGGUUUAAUUCGAUGCAACGCGAAGAACCUUACCUGGUCUUGACAUCCACAGAAGAAUCCAGAGAUGGAUUUGUGCCUUCGGGAACUGUGAGACAGGUGCUGCAUGGCUGUCGUCAGCUCGUGUUGUGAAAUGUUGGGUUAAGUCCCGCAACGAGCGCAACCCUUAUCCUUUGUUGCCAGCGAUUAGGUCGGGAACUCAAAGGAGACUGCCAGUGAUAAACUGGAGGAAGGUGGGGAUGACGUCAAGUCAUCAUGGCCCUUACGACCAGGGCUACACACGUGCUACAAUGGCGCAUACAAAGAGAAGCGACCUCGCGAGAGCAAGCGGACCUCAUAAAGUGCGUCGUAGUCCGGAUUGGAGUCUGCAACUCGACUCCAUGAAGUCGGAAUCGCUAGUAAUCGUGGAUCAGAAUGCCACGGUGAAUACGUUCCCGGGCCUUGUACACACCGCCCGUCACACCAUGGGAGUGGGUUGCAAAAGAAGUAGGUAGCUUAACCUUCGGGAGGGCGCUUACCACUUUGUGAUUCAUGACUGGGGUGAAGUCGUAACAAGGUAACCGUAGGGGAACCUGCGGUUGGAUCACCUCCUUA
rnacentral:rRNA from 1 species